CCCGCGCGCAGGGAAUGGGGACAGGCGCGGAGGAGACUCUGUCUGUGGGGUCACCUCCGCAGAGUCGGUGUUUGUUUUCCUGCGGGCUCCCCUGGGAGGCGCAAAUGCAUUUGAGGGGCAGUGCGGGGGGGGGGGGGUGUUAACCCGGCCGUUUCCAUGGCACCCGGGGCGUGGGGGAGGAAUGCACCCCGCAAGCUGUGUCGAAACAACUGCGCAGCCGGACCAGCCCGGCUGGAGAAGGCUGGAGGGAGUGGGGGGGCAGGAGGGUGGGGGGAAGCCGGGCUGGACGGGGGUGGGGCGGUCACGUGCGCCCGAGGGGGCGGGGCCCCAAGCCGGCCCCGGAGCGGAACCGAGUUCCACCUAGAGGCUCCGUGCAAGGCGCGAACUUUUCCCCCAAGAUUUGAGGGGCUGACCUUGGCCUGAACCCCUCGGGAGGACUCAAGGCACCCGUAGCCAGGACCGGGCUGAGGUGUCCGAGGCCAGCCUGGGACAGCGGUCGGGGGCUGAAGACACCCAGGAAAAGUGGGAGCAGAAGCCUGGGGGUGAGUGCAGGGAGAGCUCUGCGGGCAGCUUGUACGAAGGCUCUGGUCUCCGUUUAUUCCGGGGUGGGCCAGGGCAAGUGCCCCGACAGCUCGAAGGUGGCAGCCGAGGCCACUGUCCCUUAAGAGUGCUGGAGUCCUCAGCACCUGUCUAGGGCUUCAGCAGGGGCUGUGGUCAUGGUGAAUGAAGAUCCCAACCAACAGGAGAAAAAUGGCACGCCCGCGCAGGACCCCGUACUCCGGGUGGACCACAGCGCCUCGGGGCACCAGAGCGUGUCCACGCACCCGAGCGUGUCGAUGCACCCGAGCGUGUCGGCCCACCCCAGUGUCUCCAUCCACCCCGCCGUGUCGGCCCGCCCGAGCAGUUCGGCCCACCCCAGUAUGCUGGCCCAGUCCGGUAGCUUGGCCCGCCCCAGUAGCUCGUGCCCCGAGGACCUUAGUGUGAUCAAGGUGAGCAAACGCCGUUGGGUGGUGGUCCUGCUGUUUAGCUGCUACUCCAUGUGCAACGCCUUCCAGUGGAUCCAGUACGGCUCCAUCAAUAACAUCUUCAUGCACUUCUACGGGGUCAGCGCCUUUGCCAUCGACUGGCUGUCCAUGUGCUACAUGCUGACCUACAUCCCUCUGCUGCUGCCCGUGGCCUGGCUGCUGGAGAAAUUCGGCCUGCGCACCAUCGCCCUCACCGGGUCCGCUCUCAACUGCCUGGGGGCCUGGGUGAAGUUGGGUAGCCUGAAGCCGCAUCUCUUCCCGGUCACCGUGCUGGGCCAGAUCAUCUGCUCUGUGGCCCAGGUCUUCAUCCUGGGCAUGCCCUCCCGCAUCGCUUCAGUCUGGUUCGGGGCCAAUGAGGUGUCAACGGCCUGUUCCAUAGCUGUCUUCGGCAAUCAGCUUGGAAUUGCAGUUGGGUUCUUGGUCCCUCCUGUUUUGGUACCCAACAUCGAAGACCAGGACAAGCUUGCCUACCACAUCAGCAUCAUGUUUUACAUAAUAGGAGGCGUGGCCACUCUGCUUUUCAUCCUUGUCAUCAUCGUAUUCAAGGAGAAGCCUAAACAUCCCCCCAGCAGGGCCCAAUCCCUGAGCUACGCCUUGGCGUCCCCUGAUGCUUCGUACUUAAGUUCCAUUGUCCGGCUCUUCAGAAACCUCAACUUUGUGCUGCUUGUCAUUACCUACGGUCUGAAUGCUGGUGCUUUUUAUGCCUUGUCAACUCUGCUGAAUCGCAUGGUGAUCUUGCACUACCCGGGGGAAGAAGUGAAUGCUGGAAGAAUCGGCCUGACCAUCGUCAUUGCAGGAAUGCUUGGGGCUGUGAUCUCAGGCAUCUGGCUGGAUAGGUCCAAAACCUACAAGGAGACAACCCUGGUGGUCUACAUUAUGACUGUGGUUGGCAUGGUGGUGUACACAUUGACCUUGAACCUGGGACACCUGUGGGUCCUGUUCAUCACUGCUGGCACAAUGGGCUUCUUCAUGACCGGCUACCUUCCCCUGGGAUUUGAGUUUGCUGUGGAGCUGACAUACCCAGAAUCAGAAGGCAUGUCGUCUGGCCUCCUUAAUGUGUCUGCCCAGGUAUUCGGGAUCAUCUUCACCAUCUCCCAGGGUCAAAUUAUUGACAACUAUGGAACCAUGCCCGGGAACAUCUUUCUGUGUGUGUUCCUCACCCUUGGAGCAGUCCUCACUGCAUUCAUUAGGGCAGACCUCCGGAGGCAGAAAGCAAACAAAGAAACUCCUGAGAAUAGCACGUCACUGUUGUCACAGUCUGCUGAGCAGCGCCCACUCCUUGGAUCCUGAGACAAGUCCUGAGACCCUGGCUCCACUGCUUUCAGCCUUGGGGUCAGUGGCUGGAGAGGAAAGAAACUCCAGGAGGAGGGGGAGGAGGAGGAGGAGGGCAAUGCCAACAAAGUACCCACCAUUGUGUCUGAGGAGCACUUCUGAGAGAAGAAGGUGGUGGCGACUCAGGGAACACCGACGGCACCCCCCCUCCCCCCCCCCGCCGCUUCUUCGGUCAGCAUUCACUGCCAGCACACAGGUCUUCACCGGAGCAGCUUUUGGAGGGAACCGGCUGGAAUAUCUGUGGCUUGGAUGGCGGUGCCUCUGCCUCCUGGAACCCAUUCAAGAGCUUGCAUGGUCUGGUUGGGGACGAUGGCACCUUUCACCAAAUGCACACUCCAUUCCCGCCCCCUCCCCCUGGUGGGUUAUGGGAGCUGGUGUUGGGAGAGGCUGGUGGAGAACGGUGCUGCCCUGUCUUCCCCCUUCCCCUCCAUCCUGCAAAGAGAGAGCCUGCGAAAUUAUCGCGGAAAGGAAGCUUAUUCAGGAUAUUAACUUUUUCUAGUGUCUUAAGACCCUUAGAAGCCCAGUCCUAAGGAGAGGCAGCUGCUCCAGAUGAGGGGAAUUUGGGGGUCACUGGCCCGGCUGCUGAUGUUCUGUGGGAAAAAGCACCAUCAGAAAAAAACUGCAUCAGAACGAAGCCAUCAGGACUUGGCCUCGUUUCUCCUGGCCUGAGGUUGGGGUCUGCUUCCAAACCCUUUCCUAAGAGCUGAUCAAACCAAACAUCAAUAAACUUGACAGAAAUUUUGCUGUGGCCAUGAAGGAGAAACCCAUUUGGGAGAGUGAGCUGCCUAGGUGUGUGAGGGCACCUGUGAAGGCAGUUGGGGACCAUGGUAGCUUGAUUUGGGACUAAGUUCUUUUCUACAGAGUCUCUGCCCAGGGACUUCCGUGUGGGUCAUAGUCCCCUCUGAUGCCUUCAUGUGGACACUACCUUGAGAAACUCCAUCAGCCUCUGCACUUGCUUUCUCUGAAGGGAGGGAAAUCCCAGCCAACUUCCUGUAACCUUUACUGAGAGCUAACCUUGAUUCAUCCCAUGCUGAGAAAUCCACAGCUGCUUCUGCGAGAUGAGAGGAAAGGGGCAGAAGGGAAGCUGGCCCUUGAAAUGGGAAGUGAGUCUGCUUGAAUUAAGUGCACCUGCCUCCGGAGGGGACAGUAUUCUUACACCCACCCCCUCUUCCUGCCCUCUUCCAGCAGUAAUCUUUUUUUAAAUCAGAUAUUGUGAAUUUAAAGGGAGUCCCUUUAAACCAACCCAAGGUGACUUCCUCUCCUGCCUAGCCUGCCGUCUGGCUCUACUCAUGGCCUUGGGUGGUGUCCCCUGAAAAUAAGACAUUUCAGUAAUUUCUCCUGCGUGGUGAACAGCUGUGAUCCUGACCAUGGUGCUGUUUGGCUGUGGCCACUGCCCCGGCCUUGGCAAACGGGAGCAGCCUGGGUCGGUUGGCAGCAGUGCCGGGGUGCCCGGGCCACUGCCUGAGGGGAGCCAGGUGUGUGUGUGUGUGUGUGUGUGUGUGUGUGUGUACGUUCUGGGUAAUAGAAGAAGUUCACACUUCUGGUGGGGGGAGUGAUUGGGGGUGGAAGCAAAGUGGAGAGAAAGCGUGUCUUACUUUUGAUAAGGAGAAAGGUGCUUAUUCUUCAGCUCCUUCAAACUCUUUAACAGAAUGUUUACCAGAGCCAUUCGUUCCUUUAAGAACAUAAUUUGUAUUUUCUGUUUGUAAUGCCAGAUGUUUUAAGGCAAUAAAAGAUUCUCCGAGUG